rnacentral:miRNA from 1 species
UGUGUGUGUGUGUGUGUGUGUGUGUGUGUGUGUGUAUAUAUAUAUAUACAUAUAUAUAUAUACACAUACAUACACACACACACACACACACGCG